rnacentral:tRNA from 1 species
GGGUAAAGCUCAGUGGUAGAGUGCAUGCUUAGCAUGCACGAGGUCCUGGGUUCAAUCCCCAGUACCUCCA